rfam:Picea glauca, whole genome shotgun sequence.
GUAAUGGUGUCUUUAGACACCACCAUCUAUCUUCAAAAAUUUUAUU